rnacentral:rRNA from 1 species
AUUGAACGCUGGCGGCAGGCUUAACACAUGCAAGUCGAGCGGUAACAGGAGAAGCUUGCUUCUCGCUGACGAGCGGCGGACGGGUGAGUAAUACUUAGGAAUCUACCUAGUAGUGGGGGAUAGCUCGGGGAAACUCGAAUUAAUACCGCAUACGACCUACGGGAGAAAGGGGGCAACUUGUUGCUCUCGCUAUUAGAUGAGCCUAAGUCGGAUUAGCUAGUGUGGGUAAAGCCUACCAAGCGACGAUCUGUAGCUGGUCUGAGAGGAUGAUCA